rnacentral:ribozyme from 1 species
ACUGGACAGAGUCAGUAUAAAUAGGCUUUAAGCUCUGAGCGUGACCAACUUCGGUUGGUCGGUAGUU